rnacentral:rRNA from 3 species
UUAAGUUAUUAAGGGCGCACGGUGGAUGCCUUGGCACUAGAAGCCGAUGAAGGACGUUACUAACGACGAUAUGCUUUGGGGAGCUGUAAGUAAGCUUUGAUCCAGAGAUUUCCGAAUGGGGAAACCCAGCAUGAGUUAUGUCAUGUUAUCGAUAUGUGAAUACAUAGCAUAUCAGAAGGCACACCCGGAGAACUGAAACAUCUUAGUACCCGGAGGAAGAGAAAGAAAAUUCGAUUCCCUUAGUAGCGGCGAGCGAAACGGGAAGAGCCCAAACCAACAAGCUUGCUUGUUGGGGUUGUAGGACACUCUAUACGGAGUUACAAAGGACGACAUUAGACGAAUCAUCUGGAAAGAUGAAUCAAAGAAGGUAAUAAUCCUGUAGUCGAAAAUGUUGUCUCUCUUGAGUGGAUCCUGAGUAAGACGGAGCACGUGAAAUUCCGUCGGAAUCUGGGAGGACCAUCUCCUAAGGCUAAAUACUCUCUAGUGACCGAUAGUGAACCAGUACCGUGAGGGAAAGGUGAAAAGCACCCCGGAAGGGGAGUGAAAUAGAACCUGAAACCGUGUGCUUACAAGUAGUCAGAGCCCGUUAAUGGGUGAUGGCGUGCCUUUUGUAGAAUGAACCGGCGAGUUACGAUUUGAUGCAAGGUUAAGCAGUAAAUGUGGAGCCGUAGCGAAAGCGAGUCUGAAUAGGGCGUUUAGUAUUUGGUCGUAGACCCGAAACCAGGUGAUCUACCCUUGGUCAGGUUGAAGUUCAGGUAACACUGAAUGGAGGACCGAACCGACUUACGUUGAAAAGUGAGCGGAUGAACUGAGGGUAGCGGAGAAAUUCCAAUCGAACCUGGAGAUAGCUGGUUCUCUCCGAAAUAGCUUUAGGGCUAGCCUCAAGUGAUGAUUAUUGGAGGUAGAGCACUGUUUGGACGAGGGGCCCCUCUCGGGUUACCGAAUUCAGACAAACUCCGAAUGCCAAUUAAUUUAACUUGGGAGUCAGAACAUGGGUGAUAAGGUCCGUGUUCGAAAGGGAAACAGCCCAGACCACCAGCUAAGGUCCCAAAAUAUAUGUUAAGUGGAAAAGGAUGUGGCGUUGCCCAGACAACUAGGAUGUUGGCUUAGAAGCAGCCAUCAUUUAAAGAGUGCGUAAUAGCUCACUAGUCGAGUGACACUGCGCCGAAAAUGUACCGGGGCUAAACAUAUUACCGAAGCUGUGGAUUGUCCUUUGGACAAUGGUAGGAGAGCGUUCUAAGGGCGUUGAAGCAUGAUCGUAAGGACAUGUGGAGCGCUUAGAAGUGAGAAUGCCGGUGUGAGUAGCGAAAGACGGGUGAGAAUCCCGUCCACCGAUUGACUAAGGUUUCCAGAGGAAGGCUCGUCCGCUCUGGGUUAGUCGGGUCCUAAGCUGAGGCCGACAGGCGUAGGCGAUGGAUAACAGGUUGAUAUUCCUGUACCACCUAUAAUCGUUUUAAUCGAUGGGGGGACGCAGUAGGAUAGGCGAAGCGUGCGAUUGGAUUGCACGUCUAAGCAGUAAGGCUGAGUAUUAGGCAAAUCCGGUACUCGUUAAGGCUGAGCUGUGAUGGGGAGAAGACAUUGAGUCUUCGAGUCGUUGAUUUCACACUGCCGAGAAAAGCCUCUAGAUAGAAAAUAGGUGCCCGUACCGCAAACCGACACAGGUAGUCAAGAUGAGAAUUCUAAGGUGAGCGAGCGAACUCUCGUUAAGGAACUCGGCAAAAUGACCCCGUAACUUCGGGAGAAGGGGUGCUCUUUAGGGUUAACGCCCAGAAGAGCCGCAGUGAAUAGGCCCAAGCGACUGUUUAUCAAAAACACAGGUCUCUGCUAAACCGUAAGGUGAUGUAUAGGGGCUGACGCCUGCCCGGUGCUGGAAGGUUAAGAGGAGUGGUUAGCUUCUGCGAAGCUACGAAUCGAAGCCCCAGUAAACGGCGGCCGUAACUAUAACGGUCCUAAGGUAGCGAAAUUCCUUGUCGGGUAAGUUCCGACCCGCACGAAAGGCGUAACGAUUUGGGCACUGUCUCAACGAGAGACUCGGUGAAAUCAUAGUACCUGUGAAGAUGCAGGUUACCCGCGACAGGACGGAAAGACCCCGUGGAGCUUUACUGUAGCCUGAUAUUGAAAUUCGGCACAGCUUGUACAGGAUAGGUAGGAGCCUUUGAAACGUGAGCGCUAGCUUACGUGGAGGCGCUGGUGGGAUACUACCCUAGCUGUGUUGGCUUUCUAACCCGCACCACUUAUCGUGGUGGGAGACAGUGUCAGGCGGGCAGUUUGACUGGGGCGGUCGCCUCCUAAAAGGUAACGGAGGCGCUCAAAGGUUCCCUCAGAAUGGUUGGAAAUCAUUCAUAGAGUGUAAAGGCAUAAGGGAGCUUGACUGCGAGACCUACAAGUCGAGCAGGGUCGAAAGACGGACUUAGUGAUCCGGUGGUUCCGCAUGGAAGGGCCAUCGCUCAACGGAUAAAAGCUACCCCGGGGAUAACAGGCUUAUCUCCCCCAAGAGUUCACAUCGACGGGGAGGUUUGGCACCUCGAUGUCGGCUCAUCGCAUCCUGGGGCUGUAGUCGGUCCCAAGGGUUGGGCUGUUCGCCCAUUAAAGCGGUACGCGAGCUGGGUUCAGAACGUCGUGAGACAGUUCGGUCCCUAUCCGUCGUGGGCGUAGGAAAUUUGAGAGGAGCUGUCCUUAGUACGAGAGGACCGGGAUGGACAUACCUCUGGUGUACCAGUUGUCGUGCCAACGGCAUAGCUGGGUAGCUAUGUGUGGACGGGAUAAGUGCUGAAAGCAUCUAAGCAUGAAGCCCCCCUCAAGAUGAGAUUUCCCAACUUCGGUUAUAAGAUCCCUCAAAGAUGAUGAGGUUAAUAGGUUCGAGGUGGAAGCAUGGUGACAUGUGGAGCUGACGAAUACUAAUCGAUCGAAGACUUAAUCAA